AUAAUAAGUAUGAUAAUUUCAUCUUUACUUUUGAUUCUAUUUAAUUUGAUUAAAGAAGGUCAACUAUUUGGUCUUUUUAUAAAUAGAUAUUAUGUUUACAUUAAAAUUCAAAAAAAUUUACAUCCUUUUUGCAUUGAUUUUUAAUUCACAAAAAAAUAAAAAUUUAAGUUUUACAUUAUAAUAAUAACACACAUAUUUUACAUUUUAAAAAAUCAGCAAAAUUAUAAAAGAAAGGUAUGUCUAGGUGGUGCUCUCAAGAGAGGUUUGCUGGUUUUGUUUGGAUUGAUUCCCUUGGCAAGAGAUCUUUUUUUUGUCUUGUUUUCACCUGCACACUCAGAAGCAGCAGUUAAAACAAUUUUGGAUAAAAAGACAGAAGACCAUGAAAGUUAAAAAACAGAUUGCAGUAGUAGAAGUUACAUUAUUUUGUUCUUUCUUUCUACAGCAAGCUAAAGAGCAUAUCUUUCUAUUUUUUCUUCUUUAACACACAUAUUUUCAAACCUAAAAAAAAUAUAAAAAGGAGAAGUUCUAACCGUAAGAGGGGAAUCAAAGAAUACACAGAAAAGUAACCAUCCAAAGUUUCAAAACCAAAGCCAAAUUUCUCAAACAGAAAAACUGAAAUGUUCAAAGAAUACGAGACAUUCCUUAAGUCACCUAGGGACACAAAAAUUUGAAAGCAUCAUACACAACACAAUAAUCCAUAUACCAUCUAAAAUCACAGUGAAAAAUCCCAUAACAUAGGCAACCAUUACACAUCAAAAUUCAAAGAAACUUUAAUCGAAGUUAUUACAGGAACGCAACAAGUUUCACAUACAUAUCACAAACCUAAACCACAAACACAUAGAAUUAAAAAAGAAAAAAUCAAGUACCUGAGUCGUGCCUCUGCAGGAGCUACAUUUCUGGGUAGAAUUUCUUUCGUCUUCGCAUUUUUAAACAUUAUCUUCAUCUUAUUUAUGCUGACUUUGUUGAAUGUGUUAACUUUUGGUUUGAUUUCUAUUUCGAUUUCAUGAUGGUCGUGUUGUUUCGUUUGUGUGUUGUGAUGUGAGUUUUGAUUCGUUUGUGUGUUGUGAUGUGCGGACUCUCUCUGUGUAAACUGAGUUUGGCCGUAUGGAUGUUUUUUUUGUUCGGUUGGAAAUCGAUUUUUUUUGUGGCCAUGAAUGUUUGUGUUUUGAUUGAAAAAAUAGAUGAGAGGAGCGAUGUAGAAAGACAAAGGUGUUGUUUUUUUUUCUUUUUGUUAUGAUUCAUGGCCAUUAGAGAUUGUGUUUUGGCAGUGAGGAAGAUCGUGUUCUGAGUUUGGGAAGAAGAAAGUAGUUGUUGUUAUUUUAGGGUUUCUUUACCCCUCUUUUAGAACCAAACUGAAUCGAGUCAGUUGAACUCCCAAACAAUCCUUCCCCUUAUCUAAUUUUGGGCCUCUUCCCCUCUCCAAUUUAGGGGCAUACCCCCCC
rnacentral:lncRNA from 1 species